GAUGAACGCUGGCGGCGUGCCUAAUGCAUGCAAGUCGAGCGAACAGACGAGGAGCUUGCUCCUUUGACGUUAGCGGCGGACGGGUGAGUAACACGUAGGUAACCUACCUAUAAGACUGGGAUAACUUCGGGAAACCGGAGCUAAUACCGGAUAAUAUUUCGAACCGCAUGGUUCGAUAGUGAAAGAUGGCUUUGCUAUCACUUAUAGAUGGACCUGCGCCGUAUUAGCUAGUUGGUAAGGUAACGGCUUACCAAGGCAACGAUACGUAGCCGACCUGAGAGGGUGAUCGGCCACACUGGAACUGAGACACGGUCCAGACUCCUACGGGAGGCAGCAGUAGGGAAUCUUCCGCAAUGGGCGAAAGCCUGACGGAGCAACGCCGCGUGAGUGAUGAAGGUCUUCGGAUCGUAAAACUCUGUUAUUAGGGAAGAACAAACGUGUAAGUAACUGUGCACGUCUUGACGGUACCUAAUCAGAAAGCCACGGCUAACUACGG
rnacentral:rRNA from 1 species